rnacentral:rRNA from 1 species
UGGGGGAAUAUUGCACAAUGGGGGAAACCCUGAUGCAGCGACGCCGCGUGAAGGAAGAAGUAUCUCGGUAUGUAAACUUCUAUCAGCAGGGAAGAUAGUGACGGUACCUGACUAAGAAGCCCCGGCUAACUACGUGCCAGCAGCCGCGGUAAUACGUAGGGGGCAAGCGUUAUCCGGAUUUACUGGGUGUAAAGGGAGCGUAGACGGUGUGGCAAGUCUGAUGUGAAAAGGCAUGGGCUCAACCUGUGGACUGCAUUGGAAACUGUCAUACUUGAGUGCCGGAGGGUAAGCGGAAUUCCUA